GUACAGGAAGCAACCAAAGAGAGGGAUGUGCAGCGCACCAGUAUGGGGUAUAGGACAUAAGAGUUUUGUUGCUUCCAUGAGCACACGACCUGAACCGAGUCUCUCAUCGUCUUUGUAUGUUGAAGCAGAACGAAAAUACGCUCCUGAGAAGGCUCUUAUGACGGUGCAAUUUGUCGGCGUCCCUUCGUCAUCAUCAAUGGCAUCGUGGCUGCAAUCCACUGAGUGUAACCAUCAUCCCAAACUGCGCGAAUCUUCACUCAAUCCACAAACCUCGAAUUGUAAAUUCGUUAUGGAGGAUCCGAGUUCAUCAUCAAUCGCAAUAAGCCUUCUCGAGCGUAACAAUGGAGACGAGAUAUGGUGUAGGAUACUUCUAGAAUCAACAUAAAUUAAUAAAGCGAGUAUCCACGGAAAACGUACCAGAAAGACUCCGGCACGGCGGUUCUGAUGCUAAUGCCUUCGUAGGUAGAAAACGACACUCUUCGGUUGCAGGAAGAAAAUCUCGAGCCGUCGUGUCGAAAACCAAGUUGCAGAAAGGGAAUCUUCGGUUGCAGAUUUGAAACCUCGAGCUGCAGAGUAAAGUUUUCAGCUACAAAAUAAAGAAUUCAUAUGCAGAAUAUAAAAUCUAGAUGCAGCAUGAAAGAACUCUGAUGCAGAAUGAAGGUUUUUGGAUGCGAAAUGAAGAAAAAAAAUGCAGGGUGAAGCAAAUCAGAUGCAGAAUCCAAAACUCUCCCCCUAGAUCGUUGCACAGUGUGUGAUAGUCUAUGCGUCUGUUACAUUACACCAUCAAGCAAACUAAGAGUGGCAGCAGCUGACAUGGUUGAUGAUGUACCUGUCUUAAUCGAUGCAGCCGCAACAAUCGCAGUAACAACUAUGGUUGCUUUCAUUGUGUCUGCAAAUGGCACCGUGAACAUCUGUGAUGGAGAGUUCUUGAGACGGUGCUGGGGUUUCCAAGUCAAGCGGCAUAAAUAUGGUGUUGGCACCGGUCCGAGGACGACUUGAUUUGAUUAAACUGAUAGCUCACUUUGGUGUUGCCGGAUCUGUUGAGUUGUUAUUAUUGAGUAGGUCUGCUAUGCUCAUUCAAUUAAUUGGAUGAUUGCAUUAAUUAUACCUGGUGCCUCAUCAGUGACUCACGCUGCAGUUCCAAUUGUAAACCAGCUAGCUCAUUUUCUAAUAUUUGAAGAUGGUGGUCUGGGGGACCAAGAGAUGGAAUUGUACUGACUGUGCUAGUCAUUGAUUGUUGCUGAACUGAGUUCAAUUCUGCUCUCAAUGAUGUUGCAUCUUCUUCCGCAGGAUAUUGCUCCUUUUCUGCUUUUUCAAUUGUGUGAUUUUGGAUUUACAGGUUACCAUGAAAUAGUGGGUUUGGUAGCUUUGUUAUGGAACUUAGAUCAUGUAUAAAUUAGGAUUGUAGAGUUUGGAUAAUGAAUAAUGUAUAGAUGAUUUUGUGUGUAAUGGUUUUGAUAAGGAUUUUGAUGGACAAAUGGAUAUUAUUUAUAGGUUA